AUUCUACUCCCUCCGUUGCACAAUACUACAUGCCUUCUAUUUGUCAAAAUAUAUAUGUAUCUAGACAUGUCUUAGUAUAUAGGUACAUCCAUUUUUGGACAAAUGGAAGUCAUGUAUUUUGGAACGAAGGGAGUACACA
rfam:Triticum aestivum genome assembly, contig: Triticum_aestivum_CS42_TGACv1_scaffold_485495_6AS